CGCGUAGGCGGUGCGGUAAGUCUGAUGUGAAACCUCCAGGCUCAACUUGGAGCUGGCAUCAGGAACUGCCGUGCUAGAGUGCGGGAGAGGAGAGUGGAAUUCCUGGUGUAGCGGUGAAAUGCGUAGAUAUCAGGAGGAACACCGGUGGCGAAGGCGGCUCUCUGGACCGCAACUGACGCUGAGGCGCGAAAGCCAGGGGAGCAAACAGGAUUAGAUACCCUGGUAGUCCUGGCUGUAAACGAUGAACACUUGGUAUAGCGGGUAUCGAAUCCUGCCGUGCCGGAGCUAACGCAUUAAGUGUUCCGCCUGGGGAGUACGGUCGCAAGGCUGAA
rnacentral:rRNA from 1 species